UUGGGAGAAGCUUAGAUGUUCUUAGGACUCUGUGAGACACACAGCCAAUUCCGACAUGGAAGUCGGAAUAGUUGCAAACAGCCACGGAGGGCUGGUUUUGCAACGGUGGCGGACACUUGUAAAAACUUUAUCAGAGUCCUUAGAACAUCUUGC
rnacentral:ncRNA from 1 species